CAGAUGGCAGUGGGGAGGAUGGCAGUGGUGUUCCCUGGCCACCGAAAGUCGUGAGCCCGGCCCCCAGCAGCGGGCUGGCACCCACCGUUUAUUUCCGGGCGCUGGUGAACUUCACCCACAGCAUCGACUACAGCUCACGGCUGGAGGACCCCGAUUCUGAGGAAUUCAAGGAGAUUUCUGAGGCUGUUGUGGAUACGCUGGAGUCAGAGUAUUACAAAGUGCCUGGGGAGCAGGUGGUCAGUGUGGUCUUCAUCAAG